rnacentral:rRNA from 2 species
UACGGUGAGGCAGCAGUAGGGAAUCUUCCACAAUGGACGCAAGUCUGAUGGAGCAACGCCGCGUGAGUGAAGAAGGCUUUCGGGUCGUAAAACUCUGUUGUUGGAGAAGAAUGGUCGGCAGAGUAACUGUUGUCGGCGUGACGGUAUCCAACCAGAAAGCCACGGCUAACUACGUGCCAGCAGCCGCGGUAAUACGAGGUGGCAAUGCGUUAUCCGGAUUUAUUGGCGUAAAGCGAGCGCAGGCGGUUUUUUAAGUCUGAUGUGAAAGCCCUCGGCUUAACCGAGGAAGUGCAUCGGAAACUGGGAAACUUGAGUGCAGAAGAGGACAGUGGAACUCCAUGUGUAGCGGUGAAAUGCGUAGAUAUAUGGAAGAAACCAGUGGCGAAGGCGGCUGUUCUGGUCUGUAACUGACGCUGAGGCUCGAAAGCAUGGGUAGCGAACAGGAUUAGAUACCCUGGUAGUCCAUGCCGUAAACGAUGAAUGCUAGGUGUUGGAGGGUUUCCGCCCUUCAGUGCCGCAGCUAACGCAUUAAGCAUUCCGCCUGGGGAGUACGACCGCAAGGUUGAAACUCAAAGGAAUUGACGGGGGCCCGCACAAGCGGUGGAGCAUGUGGUUUAAUUCGAAGCAACGCGAAGAACCUUACCAGGUCUUGACAUCUUUUGAUCACCUGAGAGAUCAGGUUUCCCCUUCGGGGGCAAAAUGACAGGUGGUGCAUGGUUGUCGUCAGCUCGUGUCGUGAGAUGUUGGGUUAAGUCCCGCAACGAGCGCAACCCUUAUGACUAGUUGCCAGCAUUUAGUUGGGCACCCUAGUAAGACUGCCGGUGACAAACCGGAGGAAGGUGGGGAUGACGUCAAAUCAUCAUGCCCCUUAUGACCUGGGCUACACACGUGCUACAAUGGAUGGUACAACGAGUUGCGAGACCGCGAGGUCAAGCUAAUCUCUUAAAGCCAUUCUCAGUUCGGACAAUCCGUGCAACUCGCCUACACGAAGUCGGAAUCGCUAGUAAUCGCGGAUCAGCACGCCGCGGUGAAUCGUUCCCGGGCCUUGUACACACCGCCCGUCACACCAUGAGAGUUUGUAACACCCGAAGCC